UGGGGAAUAUUGCACAAUGGGCGCAAGCCUGAUGCAGCCAUGCCGCGUGUAUGAAGAAGGCCUUCGGGUUGUAAAGUACUUUCAGCGGGGAGGAAGGUGUUGAGGUUAAUAACCUCAGCAAUUGACGUUACCCGCAGAAGAAGCACCGGCUAACUCCGUGCCAGCAGCCGCGGUAAUACGGAGGGUGCAAGCGUUAAUCGGAAUUACUGGGCGUAAAGCGCACGCAGGCGGUAUGUCAAGUCGGAUGUGAAAUCCCCGGGCUCAACCUAGGAACUGCAUUCGAAACUGGCAGGCUAGAGUCUUGUAGAGGGGGGUAGAAUUCCAGGUGUAGCGGUGAAAUGCGUAGAGAUCUGGAGGAAUACCGGUGGCGAAGGCGGCCCCCUGGACAAAGACUGACGCUCAGGUGCGAAAGCGUGGGGAGCAAACA
rnacentral:rRNA from 1 species